UGGAAUGUUAGGAAGCACCCUUCACUGCA
rnacentral:piRNA from 1 species